UCUUCUAUUUGCAUACCGACAACGUCUUCUUCUCUUCCAUUUUCUGAAUAGAUCCACGGGCCAUAAAGCAUGAAUUGGAAAGGAUGGAGAAGAUGACAAGAUACCACAUCCAGCACCAUCAAUUCGACCUUCGAAUUUUCUAAACACA
ensembl:ncRNA W08D2.13 ncRNA